GAUGAACGCUGGCGGCGUGCCUAAUACAUGCAAGUCGAGCGAACAGAUGAGAAGCUUGCUUCUCUGAUGUUAGCGGCGGACGGGUGAGUAACACGUGGGUAACCUACCUAUAAGACUGGGAUAACUCCGGGAAACCGGGGCUAAUACCGGAUAAUAUUUUGAACCGCAUGGUUCAAUAGUGAAAGACGGUUUCGGCUGUCACUUAUAGAUGGACCCGCGCCGUAUUAGCUAGUUGGUAAGGUAACGGCUUACCAAGGCGACGAUACGUAGCCGACCUGAGAGGGUGAUCGGCCACACUGGAACUGAGACACGGUCCAGACUCCUACGGGAGGCAGCAGUAGGGAAUCUUCCGCAAUGGGCGAAAGCCUGACGGAGCAACGCCGCGUGAGUGAUGAAGGUCUUCGGAUCGUAAAACUCUGUUGUUAGGGAAGAACAAAUUUGUUAGCAACUGAACAAGUCUUGACGGUACCUAACCAGAAAGCCACGGCUAGCUACGUGCCAGCCGCCGCGGUAA
rnacentral:rRNA from 1 species